rnacentral:rRNA from 1 species
UGGUGGAGCGAUUUGUCUGGUUAAUUCCGAUAACGAACGAGACUCUAGCCUGUUAAAUAGUUCACCGAUUCCCUAUCGUCGGUGCUAACUUCUUAGAGGGACAAGUGUCGUUUAGACACACGAGAUUGAGCAAUAACA